rnacentral:rRNA from 1 species
UCCUACGGGAGGCAGCAGUGAGGAAUAUUGGUCAAUGGUCGGGAGACUGAACCAGCCAAGCCGCGUGAGGGAUGAAGGUACAGAGUAUCGUAAACCUCUUUUGUCAGGGAACAAAGGCGGGGACGUGUCCCCGGAUGAGUGUACCUGAAGAAAAAGCAUCGGCUAACUCCGUGCCAGCAGCCGCGGUAAUACGGAGGAUGCGAGCGUUUUCAGGAUUUAUUGGGUUUAAAGGGUGCGCAGGCGGUCUGUUAAGUCAGCGGUCAAAGCCCGGGGCUCAACCCCGGCCCGCCGUUGAAACUGGCGGG